rnacentral:rRNA from 1 species
AGUGAACGCUGGCGGCGUGCCUAAUCCAUGCAAGUCGAACGGAGUGGCGCCCGGGUGAGUAAUGUAUAGCUAAUCUGCCCUACACUAGAGGACAACAGUUGGAAACUGCUGCUAAUACUCUAUAGUGUAGGCUGAGGCUAUAUUGUAUCAGCUAGUUGGUAAGUGAAUGGCUCACCAAGGCUAUGACGCAUAACUGGCCUGAGAGGAUGAGCAGUCAGACGGGAACGUAUACACGGUCCAUACUCCUACGAGAGGCAGGAGUAGGGAAUAGUGCUCAAGGGGGGAAACCCUGAAGCAGCAGCGCCUCGUGGAGGAUGACACUGUUCGGAGCGUGAACUACUUUUGUUAGGGAAGCGGUACCUAACGAAUAGGCACCGGCUAACGCCGUGCAAGCAGCCGCGGUAAUUC